AUCCUCACUGAUUUGCUUUUUCACCGAUGCAGCACCUGGCAGCAGAUGUGUUGGAAGUAACAACAAUAGCAUUCAAAGGCUCGGAUCCCUAGAAGAGGGCCAGGAAGGCCCGGCCUCUGCUGAAACUGGGGGGAGUCCUGCUCGUGCUCCUGGGUUGGAGGUUCUUGGAAGUCUCUGUCCAGUUCCCUCUGCCCCUUAUUCUUUUGCUCUGGUGUUUUCUCCUCGGCCCCCCAAAAUAAGCAGACUUAUUUUCUCACAGGACCCCAUAGGGAAGCCCAGAAGCCCAGGGAUGGGACCAUCCUUUCCUAAAGAGUUUCCCCAACCCUGCGGGAAGCUGAGGCUGUGCUUCAGGGCCUUGGGAGAGUCUGAGAUUGUCAUCAGUACAGGACAGCCUGUCCAGCCAGCAUGUUUGCUCAGCUCCUAAAUAGUCCAAGAGAGUGUGUGGGUCCUCAGACCAACACCCAGGCCUUUUCUUGGAAGAAGCAGAGCCCGUCGUUCAGCUCACCAGCACUGGCCCAGUACCUGGUUGCAUAGUGCCAAAGGAAGAGGGCGAUGCUAGGCCCUGGAAGCCAAGCCGCUGGGAUGCUCGUAGCUGCAGAGGCUCUGGGGCGGCGCGUGUGGCUCAGAAAGAAGCCAGCCUGGCCGCUUCCUGACACCGCCAGUGUCAGCCCUGGAGACCGGCAACGGUGGUUGGGACGAGGGGCUUCACUCCCACAGCUCAAAACCAGUUGGUGUCACAUUAAAAUGGAAAUAAAUAAAUACAAAUUUUUGAAUUAAAAAUUAAAUUCAGUUAAACAACAACAAAAAAGUCCGUGUCAAGGGGAGGGGAGGUCCUCGGAUUUGUUUAUAAACAUAGUAAAAUAAAUAUAUAAAGAGAAGCAGCUCAGAGUGUUUGGGGGUUGAUCUUGUCUGUUUUUCAUGGAGCAUGUUUCCCAUUACAAGGGGAACUUGCAGGCCACACAUGGGCAGAAAGGAAAUAUGCAGACGGGAGUAUAAUUGGGGGUGCUGGGGUCGUGGGAUAAUCCGUGAAUUUGUUUUCAAAAUCUUCUUGAAUGUUCUGCUACUUUUACAAUUAAAAAAAAAGAAAAAGUGUAACAAAAUCAACUCUAAGUUGAAUUCAGCUGGAAUUAACUUAGUCUGUUGUGAUUUCCUGUAAGUAAGAUUUACGCUUCCACUGACUCCAGGAAGGGACUGUAGUGGUUUUUAUUUUUAUCUGUCUAUUUCUCCAAAAUCCAUUUCAUAUCUAUCCUGAGGGGUCAGGUCAAGUUAGAAUCUGGGUACCGGUUUCAGAGAGGGUUCUCUUGCCAGCUGCUUGCAGCACACAUGGUGGAAAGAUGUGGGGGCAGUGUGCCCACCAUCUCACAGCCUUGACUCUAGCAUCCCCAUUUACAGGAGGGGAAACUGAGGCUAACUGAGGCUCAAGCCAUCGGGAUAGGGUAGGUUCAGGCUCCUGAAUUUGUCGAGUUUUCUCAUAGCCCAAAAUAAUUGCCUUUUAGAGAAAGUCUCCUUCCUAGCGUGUCCCGGGCAAAAUGGGAAUGGACACAGUAGUAGGUACACCCCUGUCGCUGGCACGAAUUUGUGGGCCUCUCUAUCAACUUACAGAGGGGGCAAACAUAAAAAUCUCUCUUCUUCUCUCAUUCUCUUUCCUACUCUCAGGCAACCGAGCAUUUUCCUUGUUGAGAAAAUCCAAGUGUCAUAAAAGUGAUUUGGACAGAAAACAAAUAAAGAUCUGGUUUGGGAAGGAAAGCCAAAAUUCCUCAUUAUCAACAACAGUACUUCUUUAGAUAAAUACUUACCUAAUCCAAUUCUUCUUCCUUUUUUUCUCUU